GAAAGAGAGGAGGCAAGGCAACUGGUUAAAAAAAUAAACUACGUUAAAAAACAAAAAGCCCAGUAAGCUGAAUGAGGUGCGGGAUCGUCCCAGUGCAAGCACCUGCCUCCAACGAUUCCCCCCAACAAGCCCAGCUGAGAGGCAGCCAGCGGGGCAGGAUCUGUCCUGGCAAAGAGCUGCUGCCGGAGGCAGAGGGAGGCCACACCCUGUGUCACCAGCCCUGGGAAGAGCCAUGGGGUUCCUGGAAAACAUCCCCUUGCCACAGCGCCCAACUGCGCGGGGCACAGCAUUGCUAUGGGAGAAGGAAAUGAAUAGCUCCGCCAGUGACAAAGGAGACACCAUAAAACAAAAACCCACCACUCGGUUUGAAAUCGGACACUGCAUGCAUCAGUGUUGCAUUUUGUCCAGGGACUGUAUCAUAUUAAUAUUUUAAUUGUCCUUUCCUGCUUCCAAGAUUACAAUUCUCAGUGUUCCUAAUCUGAAGUUUUUCUACACGGUGCUUAAGGGAGCUUGCAGUACAUGUUAGCACUGGAUCAGGACAAUGCUUCCUUUACUGGAAGUGCAGCUUCUGGAUGUGUUUUCUGAGGUGGCUGCCACUGUCGCUACUGUGGUCAGCCUCAAAAAGUACAGGGAACGACUCCACCAGCAGCAAUUUUAUACAGCCUAUAUGUACAUGUAAUAAUAUCACAGCUUAAAUGCUGGGAAAUUUUGUCUGUUCUUAAGGGACUAUCCCAGUCUGUAGCCAGCCAUGGUGGUUUUCAGUGUGUUCUGGGCUGGGAACCAAAGUUCAGCCCUUUGUAAUUUGUCUUGCCUUGAGCUGAAAAUACCUUCAUACUUUUGCCCCUUUCUCCUAAGAAGUUCCUCAGGUCUUCACUCUUCACAUCCUGGCCUUUACAAAACCAAGCUGCUUCAAAGUACAUAGUUAAAAUAUCUGCCUCCCAAAAUUAGUUUACUAAUGCUGCUAUUAUUUUUCUCCUAUCACCUCUCAUCCCUUGUGCCCUUAUCCUUCAAUUCACCUCAGUAUUAUAGGCACAAAAACAAUUCAAAAAAAUCAUUAAGAUUAUGCAACAAAGGAGUCACAAGUUAGGAAAUAGCAGAUUGGUUAUGUGACUCUGCUUCAAUCCCCUUGCAUUUAUGCUUCAUGGCAGUCUUACCUGAUGCAUGCCCAGUGUUUUAUUGUUUUAGCUUUGCUUUAUUUUUGCGAGGCCCCUCCUUUGUUUAGGACACAGGAUGGACUUACUCUAGGGAUGUGCCAGAUUUUUGCAGUACAAGAUGCUGGGACAAUUCGCUGCGGAGGCACAUAGGAAACCUUGAGGAAACAGAUCCAAUUCCUGUUUCUGUUCCAGACAGGAUGUGUAUACUGCAGCUGCAUCUUUUGCGCAUGAGUUCAUGGGCGUGAGCUAAUUUCACACUGCCUAACUUGGGUGUUGAUAACAGCAUAGCAUGGAUCUCUGGGCUGGCUGAAAAAACACGGGGGUGAAGAACCUGAACAUGUUGUUAGCGGGGCUGAGCUACUGGCUUGGAGACCACUUCAAGUUGCCGUUGCCUCUGAAGAGUCUUGCACAAUGCAUCUAACUCUAGGAAGAGCCAAACGUUCCCAUUUGCAUCAGAAGUCCACAGGAUAUGGAGAGCUCUAAGGAGAAGACCCAUUGCUGACAGAUGAUUCCCCUGCAUUAAGGCUGUGUGUGUGUAAUAAAUAAAAAGAGAUGCAUCAGAAAACACCUCUAUCUGGGAAAAAAAAAAAUGCAAAAUCCCAAAAUCUAACUGCAUUGGUCAAAUAAUGUAAUAAUGUAGUUACUUAAUAGUUCUCUCACUUCAGUUUAUUUUGGCAACUGCAACUAUCUAAAGCCAGCAACAGAAUAAAAGCUGGUGUUGUCUAACUAAAGUCAAGGAUUCAAAUGCCAAGUUGAACAAUGAAUGUGGUUAAAAUAAAUAAAUAAGUGCA